GGAGACUGCCGGUGACAAACCGGAGGAAGGUGGGGAUGACCUCAAGUCAUCAUGGCCCUUACGGCCAGGGCUACACACGUGCUACAAUGGUCGGUACAAAGGGUUGCCAAGCCGCGAGGUGGAGCUAAUCCCAUAAAACCGAUCGUAUUCCGGAUCGCAGUCUGCAACUCGACUGCGUGAAGUCGGAAUCGCUAGUAAUCGUGAAUCAGAAUGUCACGGUGAAUACGUUCCCGGGCCUUGCACACACCGCCCGU
rnacentral:rRNA from 1 species